rnacentral:rRNA from 1 species
CAGCCGCCGCGGUAAUACGUAGGUGGCAAGCGUUGUCCGGAAUUAUUGGGCGUAAAGGGCUCGCAGGCGGUUUCUUAAGUCUGAUGUGAAAGCCCCCGGCUCAACCGGGGAGGGUCAUUGGGAACUGGGAAACUUGAGUGCAGAAGAGGAGAGUGGAAUUCCACGUGUAGCGGUGAAAUGCGUAGAGAUGUGGAGGAACACCAGUGGCGAAGGCGACUCUCUGGUCUGUAACUGACGCUGAGGAGCGAAAGCGUGGGGAGCGAACAGGAUUAGAUACCCGCGUAGUCCCUGUCUCUUAUAC